GCUCAAAACUUCCCCAACAAUGGCAACCUCACGCACCCCAGACUUCACAUUUCACUCAAUCUCACUCUUGCUCUCAACGAAACCCCUUUCAAACACUCUCAGCUCUCACAAAAACAAAUCAAACAACAAGCAUGAAGAGAAAGAAAAAGAGUAGGAAAGAAAGGUUCUUACAGGGCGUCGCUGCGGUGGUGGUGAUGGAUGCGAAGAAAACUGGCCUCCAGCUUUAGGGUUUAGGGUUGUUGUCUGGAAUUCCAAAGAAUAUCUUCUGCAAACUACUUUUGAUGCGCUCAGUUGGGAUUGGCCUUUUUGAUGCUUGAUUCGGAAAAGGGUGAUGUGAAUGAUAUGCAACCUUGCUAAUCUCGACUAG